AGGGUGUAAACGCUGCAGACUUGGUGUUGGAGGCCCUUUGGGGGCAUUCAGUGCCGGAGAGAAGUUGUUAAGUCUGCUACUUGGGAGUACGUCCGCAAGGAUGAAACUUAAAGGAAUUGGCGGGGGGAGGCACCGCAACGGGAGGAGCGUGCGGUUUAAUUGGAUUCAACACCGUAAAACUCACCAGGGAAGACUGUUACAUGAAGGCCGAGAUGAAGACUCUGCUAGAUUUUCAGAGAGGUGGUGCAUGGCGUCAGUGACU
rnacentral:rRNA from 1 species